rnacentral:rRNA from 1 species
AGGUGGGACUCCCCGCCGAAUUUAAGCAUAUUAGUAAGCGGAGGAAAAGAAACUAACAAGGAUUCCCCUAGUAGCUGCGAGCGAAGAGGGAAGAGCCCAGCACUGAAUCCCAAAUGGCCUCGCCUUUAGGGAGAUGUGGUGUUUUGGAGUGCCCGAUUAACCCGGGACCCGCGCACCGCGUUCAAGUCCAUCUUGAACGGGGCCAAGGUCCGUAGAGGGUGCCAGGCCCGUAGCUGACCGGUGCCGGCCCCGGGUGGGCUCCUCCUUAGAGUCGGGCUGCUUGAGAGUGCAGCCCUAAGCGGGUGGUAAACUCCAUCUAAGGCUAAAUGCAACCACGAGACCGAUAGAGAACAAGUACCGUGAGGGAAAGUUGAAAAGAACUUUGAAGAGAGAGUUCAAGAGUACGUGAAACCGCUCAGGGGUAAACGGAAAAGACCCGAAACACCGAAAAGGGAGAUUCACGUCUUCUCGCGGGUGCCGGCCCACCGGCCGGGGGAUGGCCUCACGCCCCGCCCGGUUCGUCCGUGGCGGCGGGUGGGCUGCCCCCUCCGGGGUGCCCGGUCUCGCGGGGGACCGCACUUCUCCCCCAGUAGGACGUCGCGACCCGCUCUGCGGCGGUCUAACGGCCGGAAGAAAGUCUGGCCGGGGCCCACCCCUCGGGGUUUGGGCUCCCGGCCAGGUCUCCGUGUCCGCGGCCGUCGGUCCGGGCGGUAUGAACGACUGUGGCGAUGGGCCGCUCCUCUAGAGAGCGCCGAAGUCUCCCCGCAAGCUCGGGCCGGGUGUCCUGGCCGUAUCCUCAAGGGUACGCCAGGGUCCCGCCCGGACUGUUGGCGGGCGAGCACUCAGGCCGCUGUCCAUCACGCUCGUCGGCGGCGCUUCAGAUUCGGGCACUUAUCCGACCCGUCUUGAAACACGGACCAAGGAGUCUAGCGUGUGCGCGAGUCAUUGGGUGGAAAACCUAAAGGCGCAAUGAAAGUGUCAGAGGGCGCUCCGCGUCCUCUUCGGGAGGAUGGGUUUCCCGGCCCCCCGGCCGGAGCCCCGCACUCCCGGGGCGUCUCAUUCUCACUCCGAGUCGAGACGCACCAGGAGCGCACGCGCUGUUACCCGAAAGAUGGUGAACUAUGCCUGGCCAGGACGAAGCCAGGGGAAACCCUGGUGGAGGUCCGAAGCGAUUCUGACGUGCAAAUCGAUCGUCUGAGCUGGGUAUAGGGGCGAAAGACCAAUCGAACUAUCUAGUAGCUGGUUCCCUCUGAAGUUUCCCUCAGGAUAGCUGGCUCUCGGGAAGAGACGAGUCUCAUCCGGUAGAGCGAAUGAUUAGAGGUGAUGGGGUCGAAACGACUUCAACCUAUUCUCAAACUCCCAAUAGAUGAGAGCCCCGGCUUGCUUGAAAGUGAAGCCGCGGGAUUUCGGAUCGGAGAGGCCAAGUGGGCCAAUUUUGGUAAGCAGAACUGGCGCUGUGGGAUGAACCAAACGCGGAGUUAAGGCGCCUGAUUCGACGCUCAUCUGAAACCAUGAAAGGCGUUGGUUGCUUAAGACAUCAGGACGGUGGUCAUGGAAGUCGAAAUCCGCUAAGGAGUGUGUAACAACUCACCUGCCGAAGCAACUAGCCCUGAAAAUGGAUGGCGCUGUAGCGUCGUGCCUAUACUCCGCCGUCAACGGCAGAGCGGGCGGCCCUUUCAACGGGGCGGCGCCGUUAGGCCUUGACGAGUAAGAGGGUCGCGGCGGUGAGCGCGGAAGGGUCUGGGCGCGAGCCCGCCUGGAGCCGCCGCCGGUGCAGAUCUUGGUGGUAGUAGCAAAUACUCCAGCGAGGCCCUGGAGGACUGAUGUGGAGAAGGGUUUCUUGUGAACAGCUGUUGCACAAGAGUCAGUCGAUCCUAAGCCCUAGGAGAAAUCCGAAGCGAUGGCCUGCCGUUAACUCUCUUGUGUGCUCGUGCGUCCGCCGCGGUGAGCGGGGCGGCGGGUGUCGUGCCUCGUCUAGCGCGAGGCGCGCGCCCCCUCCCGUCUCACCGCCGGCGCGGCGCGCGGCCUUUCGAAAGCCGGCACCGUCUGGGCGAAAGGGAAUCUGGUUCCUAUUCCAGAACCCGGCCGCGGAACCGCUCCAAUUCGGGCCCUCAUCCGAGGACUCGUCGGGGUGACCCGAAAUGACCCGGAGAAGCCGUAGGGAGGUCCGGGGAGAGUUGUCUCUUCUCUAUAAGCGUUCGAGUUCCCUGGAAGCCUCUAGGAGGGAGAUAGGGUUUGGAACGCGAAGAGCACCGCACUUACGGCGGUGUCCGGAUCUUCCCCUCGGACCUUGAAAAUCCGGGCGAGGGCCACGAGGAACACCGCGCCGGCUCGUACCCAUAUCCGCAGCAGGUCUCCAAGGUGAAUAGCCUCUAGUCGAUAGAAUAAUGUAGGUAAGGGAAGUCGGCAAACCCGAUCUGUAACUUCGGGAUAAGGAUUGGCUCUGAGGAUCGUGGCGCGCCGGGCUUGGUCGGGAAGUGGAGCGGUGCCAACGUGCCGG